rnacentral:rRNA from 1 species
GGUUAAGCGACUAAGCGUACACGGUGGAUGCCCUGGCAGUCAGAGGCGAUGAAGGACGUGCUAAUCUGCGAUAAGCGUCGGUGAGGUGAUAUGAACCGUUAUAACCGGCGAUUUCCGAAUGGGGAAACCCAGUGUGUUUCGACACACUAUCAUUAACUGAAUCCAUAGGUUAAUGAGGCGAACCGGGGGAACUGAAACAUCUAAGUACCCCGAGGAAAAGAAAUCAACCGAGAUUCCCCCAGUAGCGGCGAGCGAACGGGGAGGAGCCCAGAGCCUGAAUCAGUGUGUGUGUUAGUGGAAGCGUCUGGAAAGGCGCGCGAUACAGGGUGACAGCCCCGUACACAAAAAUGCACAUACUGUGAGCUCGAUGAGUAGGGCGGGACACGUGGUAUCCUGUCUGAAUAUGGGGGGACCAUCCUCCAAGGCUAAAUACUCCUGACUGACCGAUAGUGAACCAGUACCGUGAGGGAAAGGCGAAAAGAACCCCGGCGAGGGGAGUGAAAAAGAACCUGAAACCGUGUACGUACAAGCAGUGGGAGCCUCUUAAUGGGGUGACUGCGUACCUUUUGUAUAAUGGGUCAGCGACUUAUAUUCUGUAGCAAGGUUAACCGAAUAGGGGAGCCGAAGGGAAACCGAGUCUUAACUGGGCGUUAAGUUGCAGGGUAUAGACCCGAAACCCGGUGAUCUAGCCAUGGGCAGGUUGAAGGUUGGGUAACACUAACUGGAGGACCGAACCGACUAAUGUUGAAAAAUUAGCGGAUGACUUGUGGCUGGGGGUGAAAGGCCAAUCAAACCGGGAGAUAGCUGGUUCUCCCCGAAAGCUAUUUAGGUAGCGCCUCGUGAAUUCAUCUCCGGGGGUAGAGCACUGUUUCGGCAAGGGGGUCAUCCCGACUUACCAACCCGAUGCAAACUGCGAAUACCGGAGAAUGUUAUCACGGGAGACACACGGCGGGUGCUAACGUCCGUCGUGAAGAGGGAAACAACCCAGACCGCCAGCUAAGGUCCCAAAGUCAUGGUUAAGUGGGAAACGAUGUGGGAAGGCCCAGACAGCCAGGAUGUUGGCUUAGAAGCAGCCAUCAUUUAAAGAAAGCGUAAUAGCUCACUGGUCGAGUCGGCCUGCGCGGAAGAUGUAACGGGGCUAAACCAUGCACCGAAGCUGCGGCAGCGACGCUGAUGCGUUGUUGGGUAGGGGAGCGUUCUGUAAGCCUGUGAAGGUGGCCUGUGAGGGUUGCUGGAGGUAUCAGAAGUGCGAAUGCUGACAUAAGUAACGAUAAAGCGGGUGAAAAGCCCGCUCGCCGGAAGACCAAGGGUUCCUGUCCAACGUUAAUCGGGGCAGGGUGAGUCGACCCCUAAGGCGAGGCCGAAAGGCGUAGUCGAUGGGAAACAGGUUAAUAUUCCUGUACUUGGUGUUACUGCGAAGGGGGGACGGAGAAGGCUAUGUUGGCCGGGCGACGGUUGUCCCGGUUUAAGCGUGUAGGCUGGUUUUCCAGGCAAAUCCGGAAAAUCAAGGCUGAGGCGUGAUGACGAGGCACUACGGUGCUGAAGCGACAAAUGCCCUGCUUCCAGGAAAAGCCUCUAAGCAUCAGGUAACAUCAAAUCGUACCCCAAACCGACACAGGUGGUCAGGUAGAGAAUACCAAGGCGCUUGAGAGAACUCGGGUGAAGGAACUAGGCAAAAUGGUGCCGUAACUUCGGGAGAAGGCACGCUGAUAUGUAGGUGAAGCGACUUGCUCGUGGAGCUGAAAUCAGUCGAAGAUACCAGCUGGCUGCAACUGUUUAUUAAAAACACAGCACUGUGCAAACACGAAAGUGGACGUAUACGGUGUGACGCCUGCCCGGUGCCGGAAGGUUAAUUGAUGGGGUUAGCGGUAACGCGAAGCUCUUGAUCGAAGCCCCGGUAAACGGCGGCCGUAACUAUAACGGUCCUAAGGUAGCGAAAUUCCUUGUCGGGUAAGUUCCGACCUGCACGAAUGGCGUAAUGAUGGCCAGGCUGUCUCCACCCGAGACUCAGUGAAAUUGAACUCGCUGUGAAGAUGCAGUGUACCCGCGGCAAGACGGAAAGACCCCGUGAACCUUUACUAUAGCUUGACACUGAACAUUGAGCCUUGAUGUGUAGGAUAGGUGGGAGGCUUUGAAGUGUGGACGCCAGUCUGCAUGGAGCCGACCUUGAAAUACCACCCUUUAAUGUUUGAUGUUCUAACGUGGGCCCCUUACCGGGGUUGCGGACAGUGUCUGGUGGGUAGUUUGACUGGGGCGGUCUCCUCCUAAAGAGUAACGGAGGAGCACGAAGGUUGGCUAAUCCUGGUCGGACAUCAGGAGGUUAGUGCAAUGGCAUAAGCCAGCUUGACUGCGAGCGUGACGGCGCGAGCAGGUGCGAAAGCAGGUCAUAGUGAUCCGGUGGUUCUGAAUGGAAGGGCCAUCGCUCAACGGAUAAAAGGUACUCCGGGGAUAACAGGCUGAUACCGCCCAAGAGUUCAUAUCGACGGCGGUGUUUGGCACCUCGAUGUCGGCUCAUCACAUCCUGGGGCUGAAGUAGGUCCCAAGGGUAUGGCUGUUCGCCAUUUAAAGUGGUACGCGAGCUGGGUUUAGAACGUCGUGAGACAGUUCGGUCCCUAUCUGCCGUGGGCGCUGGAGAACUGAGGGGGGCUGCUCCUAGUACGAGAGGACCGGAGUGGACGCAUCACUGGUGUUCGGGUUGUCAUGCCAAUGGCACUGCCCGGUAGCUAAAUGCGGAAGAGAUAAGUGCUGAAAGCAUCUAAGCACGAAACUUGCCCCGAGAUGAGUUCUCCCUGAGACUUAGAGUCUCCUGAAGGAACGUUGAAGACGACGACGUUGAUAGGCCGGGUGUGUAAGCGCAGCGAUGCGUUGAGCUAACCGGUACUAAUGAACCGUGAGGCUUAAACUU